GAUGAACGCUGGCGGCGUGCCUAAUACAUGCAAGUCGAGCGAACAGAUGAGGAGCUUGCUCCUCUGACGUUAGCGGCGGACGGGUGAGUAACACGUGGAUAACCUACCUAUAAGACUGGGAUAACUUCGGGAAACCGGAGCUAAUACCGGAUAAUAUAUUGAACCGCAUGGUUCAAUAGUGAACGACGGUUUUGCUGUCACUUAUAGAUGGAUCCGCGCCGCAUUAGCUAGUUGGUAAGGUAACGGCUUACCAAGGCGAGGAUGCGUAGCCGACCUGAGAGGGGGAUCGGCCACCCUGGAACGUGGACACGGUCCAGACUCCUACGGGAGGCAGCAGUAGGGAAUCUUCCGCAAUGGGCGAAAGCCUGACGGAGCAACGCCGCGUGAGUGAUGAAGGUCUUCGGAUCGUAAAACUCUGUUAUUAGGGAAGAACAAAUGUGUAAGUAACUAUGCACGUCUUGACGGUACCGAAUCAGAAAGCCACGGCUAACUACGUG
rnacentral:rRNA from 1 species